rnacentral:lncRNA from 1 species
CGAUGAUCGCAUACUAAGCCGUCAGUCUCUUCAUUCGACGUGCCUCAGAGGGAUCUGCUGUCAAGAUUUUGUUAGUCAAGAAUUCAACAAACGAGUCAAUCCAGCUUGAUUCGUGAUCGACCUGGACUGGAUGCACUUCUUCUCUGGAGUCAAUACUUAAAUUUUCAAGAUGCUCAAUGAAGAUUCUCUCCAACUCACCGUGGCC